rnacentral:rRNA from 1 species
CAACUUACACCUACCAACGCCAGGGGACUACGAGCCAUGCUUAAAACCCAAAGGACUUGACGGUGUUCCACCCAACUAGAGGAGCCUGUUCUAGAAUCGAUGAUCCCCGCUAUACCCUACCACUCCUAGCCUAUUCAGCCUGUAUACUUCCGUCGAAAGUUUACCGUGUGAAUGUUCAUAAGUAGACCCAAUGAUCCACCAUCAAUAUGUCAGGUCAAGGUGCAGCCCAAGAAGUGGAAAGUAAUGGGCUACAAUUUCUAAGAUAGAACAUACGAAAGUCUAUGUGAAACCAUAGACAUGAAGGCGGAUUUAGUAGUAAAAAGAAAAUAGAGAGUUCUUUUUAACAUGGCUCUGGAACGUGUACAAACCGCCCGUCGCCCUCUUCGAUAAAUUUAACCUCAGUUUCUAACCCAUUUUUACCCCCUAGAAGAGGUAAGUCGUAACAUGGUAAGUGUACUGGAAAGUGCACUUAGGACAUACAAAAUGUAGCUUAACUAAAGCCCCUCGCUUACACCGAGAGUAUAUCUGUUUGACCCAGGUCAUUUUGAGCCUAAAAUCUAGCUCACCCCACCCAAAUGCUAACUCAAACCUCUACCUCAUAAAACAAAACAUUUUUAUAUUAUAGUACAGGAGAUCAAAAAAUUUCUAGAUGCUUCAGAUAAAGUACCGCAAGGGAACGAUGAAAUAGAAAUGAAAUAACCUUAAAGCCUAAAACAGCAAACACCCCCUCG